CAAUUGGUUAUAUAUAUAUUCUUCCCCAACGUCGGCAUGCGACAACGACGUUCAACAGCGGCAACAAUGGGUUCUUCGGCGAACAACAACUCCAUUUAUUCCGACGACCUGCCUCCUACCUCAGCCAUCCAACAGCGGCGCGGUCGACUCUCGUUUCAAGAUUAUAGAUAAAGAGAUCGAAGCUUAUCGAGUCCGUGUGUCGCCGGCGAGACCCAACCAGAAGUCGUCUUUGAUAUGCCGUCGAAAAGAAGAGGAAAAUGAGAGGGAGGAAGUGUGCUGUAACAACUUUCACAUUAUUGCAGUAACAACCAUGCUUCCGUUACUACUGCUUAGGCAUCAACGACUGCUGAAGGAAGAAGGUCGCGGGAAUAAAUGGAGUUGUUGUUCGCCGGAAGAACCCACCGCAGUGCAAAGCGGCAAUUUGUCGCUAUUGAACCCCUCUGUGGCACGCCCACGCUGGGGAAGAAAGGUCGCCGGUGAGAGAGUGAGUGAAACCGAAGAGAGAGAGGGACUGAGGAGCCCGAGAGAGAGAGUCCGGUGAACUGAGAGAGACAGAGAGUUAUGCGAGCGAAGAAGAACUGGGGAGAAGAAAUUAUUUCUCUUUUAUAAAUUCUCUUUUAAUUCUUUUAUUUUCAUUUUUUUUUAAAUUUAGCUUAUGUGGCACCCAAAAAUAUAAAACAAAUAUGACCUGGCAAGCUAGAUGUGUAAUUACCGGCACUAACAGAUAAAGUGGGUCACAAUGAGUCAAUAGGAAGCUUUUUGGAGCAUAAUGGAACAAGUUUGGAAGCCUAGAUUUCACUCAAGGAGGAUCGGAACAGCGGAACGCGAAGCAGGAGAAAAGCUGGAAAAAUGACUUCACACGGCAACCCAAACGGCCGUGUGAGUAGCCAUAUGCCCCAACGCAGGUUCCGCCCAACCACACGCCCGUUUGGGUGGCCGGUUUUCGCGAACUUUGCACAAUAUAAAAGCUGAUUUUUUGUAUUUUGUGCCCAAAUCCGAACCCUAGCUACUUAGCUAGCUUAGAACUUCUCUCUAUUAUUUCCAUAGCAAAUAUUAGCCUAGAAUAGCUUAGAUCUACACUAGAAAACACAUUGCAAGCUUUAUUUUGUAGAUUUGGAGUGGAUUCUACCAACUCUCUUCAACAUUUAAUAGUAAAGCUCUCAUUUCCUUUUCUUCA